UACAGAGGUCUCAAGCGUUGUUCGGAUUCAUUGGGCGUAAAGGGUGUGUAGGUGGCGCCGUAAGUGGGGUGUGAAAUUUCGAGGCUUAACCUCGAAACUGCAUUCCAUACUGCCGUGCUUGAGGACUGGAGGGGAGACUGGAAUUUACGGUGUAGCGGUGAAAUGCGUAGAGAUCGUAAGGAAGACCAGUGGCGAAGGCGGGUCUCUGGACAGUGCCUGACGCUGAGGCACGAAGGCCAGGGGAGCAAACGGG
rnacentral:rRNA from 1 species